GUGGCUGUAGCUCAGUGGUAGAGCACAUGCUUAGCAUUCAGGAGAUCCUGGGUUCAAUGCCCAGUACUUCCA
rnacentral:tRNA from 1 species